CAAGAUCUUUUUCUCCAGUGGGGACUGUUGAUCUGCAGCAACCGAACCUGCUUCUGUCCACUCUCAGCAAAC
rnacentral:sRNA from 1 species